rnacentral:rRNA from 1 species
CCUACGGGUGGCAGCAGUAAGGAAUAUUGGACAAUGUCCGCAAGGGUGAUCCAGCCAUGCCGCGUGCAGGAAGACGGCCCUAUGGGUUGUAAACUGCUUUUGUACCGGAGAAAACCUCCCCUCGUGAGGGGAGCUGAUAGUAUGGUAAGAAUAAGCAUCGGCUAACUUCGUGCCAGCAGCCGCGGUAAGACGAAGGAUGCAAGCGUUAUCCGGAUUCAUUGGGUUUAAAGGGAGCGUAGGUGGCCUUAUAAGUCAGUGGUGAAAUCUCCUCGCUUAACGAGGAAAUUGCCAUUGAUACUGUAGGGCUUGAGUAUAGUUGCCGUUGGCGGAAUAUGACAUGUAGUGGUGAAAUACAUAGAGAUGUCAUAGAACACCGAUUGCGAAGGCAGCUGACGAAACUAUAACUGACACUGAGGCUCGAAAGUGCGGGGAUCAAACAG